GAUGAAGAACGUAGCGAAAUGCGAUAAGUAGUGUGAAUUGCAGAAUUCAGUGAAUCAUCGAAUCUUUGAACGCACAUUGCGCCCCUUGGUAUUCCAUGGGGCAUGCCUGUUCGAGCGUCAUCUACACCCUCAAGCCCUGCUUGGUGUUGGGCGUCUGUCCCGCCCCCGCGCGUGGACUCGCCCCAAAUCCAUUGGCAGCGUUCCUUGCCCCCUCUCGCGCAGCACAUUGCGCUUCUCGAGGGCGGCUCCGGGACGCGAUCCAGCAAGAUGACCACCGUCUUUGACCUCGGAUCAGGUAGGGAUACCCGCUGAACUUAAGCAUAUCAAUAAGCGGAGGA
rnacentral:misc_RNA from 1 species